AGCACGGUGAGGGAACUACUGUUUGUGAGCUGCCGUGGGAGCAAACGGAAACCCUUCUCCAAAGAGGAUCUGGAAGUCCACCUUCCGGGUCCCAGGGUGCUUAAUGGGGUGUUGUUUGCCCAACACCGUGCAUCUAUGUCUACCGUGUUGAUGAGCCCCAUCUGUUUCUGUAAAUCCUACAGCCCCUAGAGGUAAUACUGGGAGAAGUGUGAAUCCUACAGUAUCCGAAAGGCUGUCAGAAGAAAGUCUGGCCUGAACCAAAAGACGAUUGCAUAAGCGCAAAGAUUAAGCUUGACUCCUACUGAUGGAAGGAGAGGCCUUGUGAGCAGAUCCAAUUAUUCUGUUGGAGAAAUCACAUUAACCCUUUAGAAGAACAGAUUGAUUUCCCCUCCUCUCAGUUGCAGGGGUAAGGAAUCUCACAAUAAUGCACUGCAGGUUUGAUGAUGGAAACAGAAAAAAAAAAUCGCUCUGUCUUGACAUUGGAGGAAGUAGCCGGAGGAAGGCAUUGCAAGUGAAAUGGAUAAGCCUCUCUGCAUUCUCCAGGAGAGCUGACAGAGCAUCAGUCCUUGCUAGGCCUUUCACCCUGAGGGAGCACCUGAGGAGUUUACACAAAUAUUCAUACAUGACCAAAGAGUGCAGUGACAGUCACUGAAAGAGAUGCUGUGUGAAGGCCCAGAGAUUGCGGGGACUGAGUGGGUGCUGUCAUGACUCAGCACCCCUGGGGUGAGCGGCUGUGCAUGCCUGGUCUUCGUCUUGGAUUGAUGCUGGUCCCUCACAGCAUCCCCAGGAGGACUUCCCUUGGCAGUGAUAAACAGAUACAUAAAUAGUA